GGUCUCAGUAAAAUGGUUCAACCAACUGUUUAACAAAAACAUAGGGCCCUGCAAAAUCGAAAGAUGACGUAUAGAGCCUGAUACCUGCCCGGUGCUGGAAGGUUAAGGAAGGAUGUUCGGAGUAAUCCAAAGCUUCUGACUGAAGCCCCAGUAAACGGCGGCCGUAACUAUAACGGUCCUAAGGUAGCGAAAUUCCUUGUCGGGUAAGUUCCGACCUGCACGAAUGGUCUAAUGAGUUGAACGCUGUCUCCUCCACGAGCCCGGUGAAAUUGUAGUAUCGGUGAAGAUGCCGGUUACCCGCCACGGGACGGAAAGACCCCGUGAACCUUCACUAUAACUUUGCAUUGAUUUUGAAUUACGGAUGUGUAGCAUAGUUGGGACGCUAUGAAGCGGUGGCGCCAGCCAUUGUGGAGCGGUCGUUGAAAUACCAACCUUCUUUGAUUUAGGAUCUAAUCCCUCGCGGGAAACAGUGCAUGGUGGGUAGUUUGACUGGGGUGGUCGCCUCCUAAAGAGUAACGGAGGCUUGCAAAGGUUCCCUCAGUACGGUUGGUAAUCGUACGCAGAGCGCAUUAGUAUAAGGGAGCUUGACUGUGAGGCAAACAGGCCGAGCAGGGACGAAAGUCGGCUAAAGUGAUCCGGCGGUUCUGUAUGGAAGGGCCGUCGCUCAAAGGAUAAAAGGUACUCCGGGGAUAACAGGCUGAUCUCCCCCAAGAGCUCAUAUCGACGGGGAGGUUUGGCACCUCGAUGUCGGUUCGUCACAUCCUGGGGCUGGAGAAGGUCCCAAGGGUUCGGCUGUUCGCCGAUUAAAGUGGCACGUGAACUGGGUUCAGAACGUCGCAAGACAGUUCGGUCCCUAUCUGUGGUGGGCGUUAGUAAAUUGAGAGAACAUGACCUUAGUACGAGAGGACCGGGUCGUACGUACCGCUGGUGUAUCAGUUGUGCCGCCAGGUGCAAUGCUGAGUAGCUAAGUACGGACAGGAUAAACGCUGAAAGCAUCUAAGCGUGAAACCUAUCUCAAGAUGAGUUUACUUUUAAGGGCCGUAAGAGACUAUUACGUUGAUAGGCUACAGGUGUAAAGGUGGUAACAUCAAAGCCGAGUAGUACUAAUUGCCCGUAAGCUUUAAUUU
rnacentral:rRNA from 1 species